GUUCAAGGAUUGACCAAAUAUAAAAGAUGUAAUGUGUUCCGUUAACUAGCGAGUUGUAACUCAGACGCAUGCUCAAAAAAGAAGCAUGUGAAGAUAGGGGCAAUUAUUUCAUACUAAUUGAGACUUUAUCUUCUUAAUAGAUACCUCGACCCAACAGAGUUAUGUGUUUCACUAACUAGUGAGUUUACAACUCAAACAGAAAUAAAGAGACAUGACGAUGGUGAUAUAUUUCCAACUAAGAUGUUCCUUGACCUUCAAAUAGGCAAAGAACUCAACUUCAAAGCACAAACUCGAUAUGAUCAAAUAAGGAGAAUGAUGAGCUAGGGACAAUUAUUAUGUAUUGGGCUUGAGGUUCGAUCCUCUUAACAGCGUACCUCAACCUAACAGAGAAUACCAACCAAAUUCACAAUGUCAUCACUUAGGCUCAAGAGCACUACAAGACACUUAAGAAUAUGGAAGCGUGCCUUGAUUUGGAGUAAAAUUAGCAUGUCACUACUCCAUAAUUAGGGGCGGGUAAACGGGCUCAGGUCCAUGGACUAGUCCAUGGACUAGUCCCUGUCCGCGCAAACUAUGGACCAAUUUUUUUUAAAAAUCCAUAACUAUAUAGGAUUUUAGGCCUGUCCCGCAUAAUUCGUGGCUAUGCGAGUUUGGCGCGUGGAUUAACCCGCAAACCAGUAACCACCAGUUAAGUCUAACCCAAAUCCAAUUAAUCUUAAAAGUCUAAUCCAAAAUUUCUUUGUAGUUAUGUUGGAAAUUUAUUUGGUUGUGGUAAAACUUUUGUAAUUGAG
rnacentral:lncRNA from 1 species